rnacentral:rRNA from 1 species
UACGGAGGGGGCUAGCGUUGUUCGGAAUUACUGGGCGUAAAGCGUGCGCAGGCGGUUUUGUAAGUCAGAUGUGAAAUCCCCGGGCUUAACCUGGGAAUGGCAUUUGAGACUGCAAGGCUUGAGUGCGGCAGAGGAGACUGGAAUUCCUGGUGUAGCAGUGAAAUGCGUAGAUAUCAGGAGGAACACCGAUGGCGAAGGCAGGUCUCUGGGCUGACACUGACGCUCAUGCACGAAAGCGUGGGGAGCAAACAGG